UGGGGAAGUUUUCCGCAAUGGGCGAAAGCCUGACGGAGCAAUGCCGCGUGGAGGUGGAAGGCCUACGGGUCGUCAACUUCUUUUCUCGGAGAAGAAACAAUGACGGUAUCUGAGGAAUAAGCAUCGGCUAACUCUGUGCCUG
rnacentral:rRNA from 1 species